rnacentral:rRNA from 1 species
GACGAACGCUGGCGGCGUGCCUAAUACAUGCAAGUCGAACGCAGUGGGGACGGGUGAGUAACACGUGGGUAACCUCCCAUCAGAGGGGAUAACACUUGGAAACAGGUGCUAAACCGAUACUGAUGGAUGGACCCGCGGUGCAUUAGCUAGUUGGUGAGGUAACGGCUCACCAAGGCCACGAUGCAUAGCCGCCCUGCGAGCGUGACGGGCCACGCUGGGACUGAGACCCGGCCCCGACUCCUCCGCGAGGCAGCACUGGGGAUGCUUCGGCAAUGGCCGAAAGCCUGAUCGAGCAACGCCGCGUGAGUGAAGAAGGUUUUCGGAGCGUAAUACUCUGUGGUUAGAGAGGCGGUAUCUAACCAGAAAGCGCCGGCUAACUACGUGCCAGCAGCCGCGGUAAUAC